CAUCCAGUCGUCUAACUCUAUUUCUACAUUUGUCGGAGUACAAACCUUGACGCUGACGUGAACUUUAUGGUUGCGCUGCAUGUGCUCCUUGAAGGUGUCGGAUAGGAAGAGGGUCUGCAGUGUACCGUCCUGUUGUUCCUCCACGACCUUUGACCCCUGACCCCCACCAAGCUUCACUUGCAGCCAGUCUGACAGGAUCCUUCAAAGAAACAUUUUCCCCUUCAGACGGAGCUCGGAAGACGACAACUCCUGCAGCAUCCCUACGAGAACUUCGGUCAGCAGCGACUCCGACUGGACGCUGCUCUCACUGCAGCAUCGAAAGAUAAAUAAAAGGAAGUAUGUAACACAAAAGUAUAAGAGCAAGACCUCGUCGUUGAAGACUGGCUGGGGUUUUGGCGGAGGUGAUGGUGCUUUCACUUGCGGUGGUGAAAGAGGCUGGAAGAGCUGCUGGGCAUCUGCAAGGGGAGACAAACUGCGGAAGGAAUCUUCCGUCUUAUCCGGGACAGCCUCUUGCGGACCCAAAGCAUCUGCAGGUCUGGGCGGCGAGGGCUGGGUCUGCAGUUCAACACUGGGCGGGGUCUUUACCUCCACUCUGGUAGCAAUGGCUAGGAAAAGAACGUACACAAUGACAUGGCUAGUUGAAAGACUCACCCAUCGCUGACGUUGAGGCUGUACUGCUGGAUAAAGUCGGUCGCUUCUGCGGCACUACGGAACAUUAACAUCCGAACAACAUCUUCCACUGGAAAAGCAGUCGAGCGCGGACCCACGGUGUGGGCGAUGUUCAGGAUCUUUAAUGCUUUUGCUCUGACCUGCACACACACAUUCAGAAAAAUCACAUAAUAAUAUUCAUUCAUUCAUUCUCUACCGCUUAUCUUUACAAGCGUCGUGGGGGUCGUCUUCAGGCGAGAGGCUGGGUACACCCUGGACUGGCUGGGCAGCCAAUCACAGGGCACAUACAGACAAACAACCAUUCACACUCACAUUCAUACCUAUGGACAAUUUGGAGUCGCCAAUUAACCUAGCAUGUUUUUGGAAUGUGGGAGGAAACCCGGAGUACCUGGGAAAAAAACCCACACAUGCACGGGGAGAACAUGCAAACUCCACACAGAGAUGGCUGAGGAUGGAAUUGAUCUCGGGUCUCCGAGCUGUGAGGCCUGCGUGCUAACCACUCAUACUCCAUGCAGCCAACAUAAUAAUAAUAAUAUAUUAAAAAUAGGUAAUGGCCACAAGAGUAGCCUGUGUAGUUGUGAUUAUAUUUAUUUGGAUUAUUAUGUUGUUAUUAUUAUUAUUAUUAUUAUCGUGCAUGUUGUGAGAUCAUCUAGUGACCAGUGUAGAAUACUUCAUGUCAUCAUGUCCGAUGAACACUCAUGUAAUGUUUUCCCACAAUGCAUUGCGUCUGACCAAGGCAUUAAUUGGUGAACUGCAAUGACAUCAGCCUCCCUCUGGUGGGCAGCACUGCAGCGCCAUC